rnacentral:lncRNA from 1 species
CUGUCGCACAUCCAUACUGAUGUCUUUUUUGCUUUGUUUUGUGACCCACUGAACCUGACCGAGGUCAUCUGUGUGACGAUGGAACCAUUUGGAAGUAUCCACUGGAACUUGAUGAAGUCAACAGCGGGAAUACAACUGAAACCUCUGGUUGUCCCCUCUCUGAAACCUUCAGUAGUGCUUCUUAUUUUCACCAGGCUCCUGUGUCAAGAACAAGUCCGUUGCUUGGCCAAGCGGAAGCUCCGCCACGGCUAGUCUCUUCUCACUGCUGUGGCGACUUCUAAUUUACCAUCAUCCAGUGUCCUCCCUGCUUAGAAAAUUCACACAACAAUGCAAAACAGGCUAAGAUCCUGGAUUGUCAGUGACUAUAAGGGAAGCUGAAUAUAAAUCCACAGUAACCAGGAAAAAGGCAAGAGUCACCCUGGGGUAUCAUUGACGUCAUCGUCAUCUUCACAUAGCAAUUCACACCUUCAGACUUCCUGCUCCUCUCUGGAACCAACCUACCCUUGAAUAAUCAACUAGUCCCUCCAAAGGCUAUACCAUCACAAUGGCCAUCACAUUUCAAGACCAUUCUAAUCUCUAUAACCUGCAAAUGUGAUCUUAUGUUAUAAAGACAUCUUGUGGAUGUGAUUGAGUUAAGAGAUUUUGAAUAGGGGAGUGGAUUACCUGGGCCCAGUGUAAUCACAAUAGUCCAUAUAAGGAAAGGAGGCAAUAAUAGGAAGAGAUGAGGGUAUGGAUCAUGAGUUGAAGAUUUAAAGAUGCUAGUUUGCUGGCUCUGAAGAUGCAUAAAAGGGUCGGGGAGUGUGACAUCCUUUAGAAGCUGGAAAAGACAAGAAAACAGAUUCUGUACCGGAGCCUACGGAAAAAAAACACAACUCAGUUGACAUCUUGAUUUUAGAACACCGAACACAGAACUGUCAGACACAGCACCAAACGUUUACUGGUGAGAAGCCCCGGCAGAGGGGAUUUGCCUCAUAAUUUCCCUGAGUCAGAGAAGGUGUGGGAAAGAGGAAACAAGACAGCUCAUGUGUUGAAGAUCCUGGCGCUGCAGAAAGCAUCCAUUCAGUUCUUCACAACCUGCCUGACAGUUUUCCUAAUGAAACACUUCAGUAUCUUUUUAACGGAGCUUUUUAAUUCUCCUGACUUGAAAGAUCCAUAACUUUUCUUGAGGAGAGAGAGAGAGAGAGAGAGAGAAAGAGAGAGAGAGAGAACCUACCACAUUUAAGCCUAUGCACUGAUUUUUAAGGCCUGUCAGUCAUCCGGAAGAUAUGGCUGCAGGAAGUUCACUCUGGUAUGUUCUUCAGGAAGACAGCUGUAGAAACCAUGUUUGCAGCUGGUAUAAACUGCUACCCAGAAGCCCACAGAUCCAGUGGUCUGAAAGACCUUCCUGCUGAGAUCCAGGCGGCAUUGUGGAGCCAGAAGCAGAGGCAGCUUCUAGCUGUCCUUGUUCCUAAGCAGCUGGUGACCUCAGGACUUCAGGACCUGGCUUUCAUGGUCAUGCCCUGUUGACAGAAGACAUCCCAUCAGGCUGCAGACACCUGACCUUUCUCUCUGCCGUGCUCCACCCACUAGAUGGGGUGACAAGGAGAAGCCUGCGAACAGCUAGUGGGCUUAGAACUGGAGGGCUCUCAUGCACACAUAUCACAAGGCAUCCUGGUCAAAGAGGGAAGGGAACCAAGGGACGAUCCCCUUGUCCUUCCCAGGAAAUGUAGCAAGGGCAAGAUGUCCCAUUCCCACCCUUUGGGCAAGUUGUUUGCCUGUCUGAGCCUGUAUUUCCUAAUGCCUAUGAAAGGCAGAAGAGACAGAAAUAGAAACUCAUGCUCUUAACAUUCGAAGCAAACAAGCUAAAGGUUAGCUUCCCAAAUCCUACCCCCUUUGAAGACUGAUGGAUGAGAUUUGCUAAGUUUGCUACAGGCAAGGAAACAAGCAAGGGCUGAAGACUAUAGAACUCCUGCCACACUAGUACUAAAGUAAUCCCAUGACUGGAGGAGGAGGGGUUGGAGGAGGAGGAGUGAGAGGAGGAGGAAGAAGAGGAGGACGAUGCCUACAACAGCAACAACUAUGAAGGGUUUGGAUGAACAGUUGCAGACUGUCUGCUCAUUGCCACUCCUCAACUUUCCCAGAGAGUGGUAACAAAACCAGUGAGAUCCAAGUGGGUAA